UCUUAUUUUAUUUGAGUUGUGGAGUAUUAUUUCUAUAUUGUCUUGUUAUAAUGUAUUUAUUUAUUUAAUUUUAUGAGAUUAUUAUUAUUUUUUAUUUUGGUUUGUGCAAUUAGUUGAGCGGUGUUUCGCAAAUUAGAGAACCAAAGUCAUUUCUUUUUCUUUUUGUUGUCGGUUAGAUAUGCUUGCCCAAAUAUUUUCUUUGUCGCUUUAGUUAAACAAAGCCCAAACCCUUUAAACCUUCUCUCUCUCUCUCUCCCGUGUCCUUUGUUCUUCCUAAUCUCCCAAAGCUGAAAACCUGAAACCCCAACCCCAAUAUUUUCUCUCUCUCGUGUCGUACUCGGUGCUCCACCGACGAACAGACGGCCGGACCUAUGCUGUUGUCGCGCUGCCGGUGCUCGUCGGGGUUCACCUGUUGUCGCGUCUUUCCUUUGCCGGAUUUUCCCCUUCUUGACGCCGUUGAUGUCUCGUUUCUCUCUCCUCCUCUGUUUGGUCGUUGUUGUUGUUUUUAGCGGUGCUGCUGCUGCUGCCUUGUGGCGUCGUUGGCACCACCGUGGGCGUCCAUCACCUUGCUGUUGGUGGUGCUCGUUGUCGCCGCUGAUGGAGCCCAGUCCCUCCCUUUGUUGUGGUCUCCCCUGCUUCAAGAGUAGAGGUAAUGACUACCUUUUUCUUUGUCCUUGAAAUUAUGGUUUUAAGUUUUGUUUAAGCCCAAGUUGUUAUUAUUGUUGUUUGUUGUUGUUGUUAUUGGGCUGUUGUUGUUAGUUAUUGUUGUUAUUGUUGUUGCGGUGCUGUUGUUAUUGUUGUCGUUGUUGUGGAGUUGUGUGGUGGUUAUGGUGAAGUGUUGAAUUGUUGUAGGUUGUGUUGUUGUUAGUAGUAUUACUGUUGUUAUUCUCAAAAGGAGGGUUGUUGGUUUCUUAUUUGCUUAAUGAAGUUUGUUAGAUUGAUUUAUGGUUGAUUUGAUUUCUAGCUUACGAUACUAGCCUAAGUAUAUUUUAUCAGUUUCGUAGUUUUAAGAGAAGUUAAGAAUUGUUGUUAUUUUAUAGGAAAUCAGAGUUAGCCUAUAAGGGUUGUAGUUGUUUCAUGAAAUAGGUUUAGAAAGUAUAGACAAGUCAAUACCCUUAUUCGAAUUAUAGGGAGAAUGGUUGUUAAUACUUAUUAUUAUUAUGAGGUUAUUAUUGGAGGAUGAUUUUGGAAUGAAGAACCAUUCGGGAUUAUGAAGGAGAUUAUGUUGGUGGAAUCUGAAUUGCUUUAAGGUUUGGUAUCAAGAGCUCCAGAAUGGAAGUGAAGCAAGAUUAUGAUGUCGACAUAGAUUUAGGAUUGAGUUUGUAUAUAGAUAGCUGAUUUGAAAAUAGUUAUUUAUGUUUCGUUGUAUAUGAUAUUUGAGAAUAUUAUUGGAGAUAUUGGUGUAUUUAAGGAUAUUUUUCCGCUGCGAAGUAAUUUAUUUGAGAGUUAAUUCUUGUUUAUGGA